UACGUAGGGUGCAAGCGUUAAUCGGAAUUACUGGGCGUAAAGCGUGCGCAGGCGGUUUUGUAAGUUUGUCGUGAAAGCCCCGGGCUCAACCUGGGAAUUGCAUUCGAGACUGCAUGGCUAGGGUGCGGAAGAGGGAGCGGAAUUUCCGGUGUAGCGGUGAAAGUGCGUAGAUAUCGGGAAGGAACGACCAGUGGCGAAACGCGGCUUCCUGGUCCAG
rnacentral:rRNA from 1 species